rnacentral:rRNA from 1 species
GGAAAACGCUUGGCGGCCCCCUUAACUCCAUGCAGUCGAACGAACCUUCGGGGUUAGUGGCGGACGGGUGAGUACGUGAGAAUCUGCCCUCAGUGAGGGGGACAACACGUUGGAAACGACUGCUAAUACCCCAUAUGCCGCGAGGUGAAAUGAAUUUCGCCUGAGGAUGAGCUCGCGUCUGAUUAGCUAGUUGGUGUAGUAAUGGCUCACCAAGGCAUCGAUCAGUAGCUGGUCUGAGAGGAUGAUCAGCCACACUGGGACUGAGACAACGGCCCAGACUCCUACGGGAGGCCAGCAGUGGGGAAUUUUCCGCAAUGGGCGAAAGCCUGACGGAGCAACGCCGCGUGAGGGAUGAAGGCCUCUGGGCUGUAAACCUCUUUUAUCAAGGAAGAAGAUCUGACGGUACUUGAUGAAUAAGCCACGGCUAAUUCCGUGCCAGCAGCCGCGGUAAUACGGGAGUGGCAAGCGUUAUCCGGAAUUAUUGGGCGUAAAGCGUCCGCAGGCGGCCCUUCAAAGUCUGCUGUUAACAAAGUGGAGCUUAACUCCAUCAUGGCAGUGGAAACUGUUUGGGCUUGA